rnacentral:tRNA from 1 species
GGUGCUGUGGCUUAGUUGUAUAAGGUGCCUGUCUCGUAAACAGGAGAUCUUGAGUUCAACUCUAAGCAGUGCCU